rnacentral:rRNA from 1 species
UACGUUCCCGGGCCUUGUACACACCGCCCGUCACACCACCCGAGUUGGAGGUACCCGAAGAGGCUGUUGCUAACCGCAAGGAAGCAGGUCGUUAAGGUAAAUUCGGCGAGGGGGGUG